GGUCUCGUGGCGCAAUGGAUAGCGUGUUGGACUUCGGAUCCAGAGGUUGCGGGUUCGAUCCCCGUCGAGAUCG